CCAACAAACAUCACAGGACCAUCUCAGUAUCCAUAUUCAUCUCGUCUUCGCCUGCUUAAAUCAUCUUCAUAUCCUGCUUAUAUCAGUAUCAAGCUGCAUUUUAAGAAGCCAGAAGCGUGAUCUUUACUACAACUAUCUAAGUUGAUGAAACGACACGAUGAAGUUGUCUGUCUGUCUGCUGAUUUCUGUCACGCUUGUUGUGGCCGCCAUGAUUGACAACUCAGAGACCAGAAUGGUCCGGAAGCGUCCCGCACAAAAGAGGGAUUUAACCGAAGAAGAAACGAGGGAGGCCUUGGAGCAUUCGAAGUCACUCCUGGAGAUACUUGAUGAGAAGGAU